rnacentral:rRNA from 1 species
CCUACGGGAGGCAGCAGUGAGGAAUAUUGGUCAAUGGCCGCGAGCCUGAACCAGCCAAGUAGCGUGAAGGAUGACGGCCCUACGGGUUGUAAACUUCUUUUAUAGAGGAGUAAAGUGAGGCACGUGUGCCUCUUUGAAUGUACUCUAUGAAUAAGGAUCGGCUAACUCCGUGCCAGCAGCCGCGGUAAUACGGAGGAUCCGAGCGUUAUCCGGAUUUAUUGGGUUUAAAGGGAGCGUAGAUGGGUGGUGAAGUCAGUUGUGAAAGUUUGCGGCUCAACCGCAAAAUUGCAGUUGAUACUGGAAGCCUUGAGUGCAGUUGAGGUAGGCGGAAUUCGUGGUGUAGCGGUGAAAUGCAUAGAUAUCACGAAGAACUCCGAUUGCGAAGGCAGCAUACUA